UACGUAGGGUGCGAGCGUUGCCCGGAUUUAUUGGGCGGAAAGAGCUCGUAGGUGGUUUGUCGCGUUGUUCGUGAAAACUCACAACUCAAUUGUGGGCGUGCGGGCGAUACGGGCAGACUGGAGUACUGCAGGGGAGACUGGAAUUCCUGGUGUAGCGGUGGAAUGCGCAGAUAUCAGGAGGAACACCGGUGGCGAAGGCGGGUCUCUGGGCAGUAACUGACGCUGAGGAGCGAAAGCGUGGGGAGCGAACAGG
rnacentral:rRNA from 1 species